ACAGCUCAGAAAUCUGAUGUCUGGAAUGACGAGACUUCAAAACUGAGAUUGUUUCUCUUGUUCCUAUCAUGAGAUGCUUGUUAAACGACAAAAAAGGGUUCCGAAUAGAUUACAAAGGGAUCUAUGUUUCUAUUACAAUCUUCGCAAACUUUCAGAUUACAAAGAAAGGCUAGAAUCAUCAAACUAUAAGUCUUUCAAUUUAUAUACACAUGUUUGAGCAUUUGUCAUGGAACCACCCUGAUUUUAUCUUCGAGUUGGUGGCCGUAUACCCAGCUUCUGCUCCUGUCUUGGCAUUCUGAUUUUAGAUACAGUAAAGAGCAUGUGUUGCUUGAUUAUAUCUCCCUGGACGAGUAAAUCAGAAGUGUAGUGUUCAUAUAAACCUUGUUACAAGGAAAGAUGUUGAAAUAAACAAGUUUUUAUAAAUCUGGUAAAGACGGACCUGGGCUGAACCUGGCAUUGAAGUCAGGGCGAAGAGCUCCGUCUCCUUGCCGGCUACCGCAGGCUGCUGCUGGCGCUGGCGCUGCGCCGCCUUCUUCUGCUGCUUCUUGCUGAGCGUGACUGGGGCGGGGAGGGUGGAGUCUCAGGCAAAAACGUUGUGGCAUCGGUCGCCGAUCCUGGGCGUGGCAGCGGCGGACGAGGGGGCCGCUAGCGCACGCGGCGACCACGACGGCGUGGACGAG
rnacentral:lncRNA from 1 species